UAGCAAGUCGAACGCGAAAGGGGACUCGGUCCUGAGUAAAGUGGCGCACGGGUGAGUAACGCGUAGAUAACCUGUCUUCAUGUCUGGAAUAAUACGCCAAAGGGGUACUAAUACCGGAUAUUCUUGCUUUUCAUAAGUUAUGCAAGCAAAGGUGGCCUCUGCAUAUGCUACUGCAUGAAGAGGGGUCUGCGUACCAUUAGCUAGUAGGUGGGGUAAUGGCCUACCUAGGCGACGAUGGUUAGCGGGUCUGAGAGGAUGAUCCGCCACACUGGCACUGGAACACGGGCCAGACUCCUACGGGAGGCAGCAGUGAGGAAUAUUGCGCAAUGGGGGAAACCCUGACGCAGCGACGCCGCGUGAAGUGAGGAAGGCCUUCGGGUCGUAAAGCUCUGUCAAGAGGAAAGAAGUGUACAAUGGCUAAUACCUGUUGUAUUUGACGGUACCUCUAAAGGAAGCACCGGCUAACUCCGUGCCAGCCGCUGC
rnacentral:rRNA from 1 species